AUGAAGUUCUGGGGUGUGGAAGUGAAGCCGGGACAGACAGUUUAUUGCGACCCUGGUGAAGGGCGUGUUGUUCAUCUCACACAGGUUGCCCUGGGUGAAACAGAGAAAAGAAGUGUCGGCAUACCAGUAUCUGCUAAAAUUGGUGAUCAGAAGGGGGUCAUUGGAACUCUGUCGGCUGAAAAUCACCCUCAGAUUCUUUGUGAUUUGAUCUUUGAGAAACAGUUUGAGCUAUCACACAGUUCAAAAACUGCCAGUGUGUUUGCGUGUGGUUACAAGAUUCCCAAGCAUAACUGCACGUCUGAUUCUAGCGAAUCUGAUUCUAGCGAAUCUGAUUCUAGCGAGUUUGAUUCCAGCGAGUCUGAUUCUAGCGAAGAUGAAGUGGAAACUGUAAACAAUCAAGUGGCCAAUCCUAUUGUUGGCAAUGUGGCAAAGCCUCCGACAACAAAGGAUGAUAAAAAGGUUACAGAUAACCAUGACAGUGGUGAGGAUGAUAGUGAUUUUUAUUCUACAGAUUCAGAUGAUUACGACGAUGAUGGGUACAGUAGCUUAGAUACCGAUUCUGAAGAGGAUGGUACCAGUAGUGAAGAGAUGGAUACCAGUAGCAAAGAGGAGGACAAAGACAGUCCUAAGCCUGAGGAUGGCAAGAAAGCGGUGGCCGAGACUGCCUUGAAGACACCUGCCUCUGACGACACCAGUAGCAAAGAGGGUUCAAGUGAUGAGGAAGACAAAAACACUCCUAAGCCCGAGGAUGGCGAGAAGACGGUGGGCGCCGAGACUGCCUUGAAGACACCUGCCUCUGACGAUACUAGUAACAAGGAGGGUACAAGUGAUCAGGAAGACAAAAACACUCCUAAGCCUGAGGUUGGCACGAAGAGGGCGGCCGAAACCGCCUUGGAGACGCCUGCUCCUGACAAGAAGGCAAAGAUUGAAACACCAUCUGGCCAGGACACAGAUGACAAGAAGAUUGUCCAUGUGGCAACUCCCCAUCCAGCAAAGCAGGCCGACAAGGCGCCUGGGAACAGCAAGCAACAUCUCAAGUCCAAAUAUGUCGGCGGCGCCCACGCCUGCAAGUCGUGCAGCAGGACAUUCGGCAGUGCUUCGGCGCUCCAAUCCCAUGAGAAGGCGAAGCACGCUUGA
rnacentral:rRNA from 1 species